AUUGCGUCAGGACCAGAAUGUAUUGCUUUAAGCCAGCGCUGUAUAUGGGUACAUGAAGUGGAAAGCACCCAAUAACAAACAUAACAUUUAAAAAAAAAUCUACAAACUAGUGGGAAUAUAAAAUAAAUGUGUCUGGGCAAAUUGGUAUUGCCGGACAACCCGAACAGAUUUUCAAACAGAUCCAAAUGCAUGUGGACCUCAGCGCACUCCUGAGCACUACAAAUCUGCAGUAGACAUUUUACAGUCUGAGGAACAACAAAACGUUGAAGGUAUAAUAUCUGAGUCCAUUUUUAAUUCAUUGAAUUACUUCGAUGUUUGUAUGCCUGGCCUGCCACCUUGUUUAGGCCAUGACAUUUUUGAGGGUAUCCUUUCCUAUGAUUUAGCCCUUUACCUGAAGUACUUCAUCAAGCAGAAAAAGUGGUUCACUUAUUCAAUUCUGAAUAGACGCAUUAAGAAAUUUAAGUACAGUGGCUCUGAUGCGUUGAGUAAGCCAUGUGCAGUAAACUCCAAUGGAGUAAAGCUUUCUGGUCAGGCUGUUCAGAACUGGAAUUUUCUAAGACUUCUUCCUGUGAUCAUGUGUGACAAGGUGAAAGAGCCCACAGAUGAUGUUUGGCAGUUGACCCUUCAGCUAAAAGACAUUGUGGAGCUGAUUUGUGCACAGAAAAUUUCAUUGCCAGAGGUUGCAUACCUUGACGUUCUUAUCCAAGAAUAUCUUGCUUGUAGAUUUUCUCUCUUUCCAGGACAUAGGUUAGAGCCUAAGCAUCACUACUUGCGACACUACCCUGCACUGAUUUUAAAGUUUGGUCCUUUGAUCAGGUUGUGGACAAUGCGAUUUGAAAGUAAAUAAGGCACCAGGGCAACAACAGUCAGAACAGCAUCCAUUUCACAGCUAGUUUUAAAAAUUGCUUUAACGCAGAGUGAUUACAGGAAAUAGGUGAACUGUUUAAUAUUAAUUAAAUUAUCAAAAUGUGCUAAUAAUAGACAUAUUUGUCAGUCAGACAUUGUGCUUUUUAAAGAGCAGAAGGGAUACAUUAAAUCACGAUUAUAUUGACCUUACUGUAUAUAUUUUAAAAUUUUUCCCCUCAAUGAUAUAAAUAUUUUCCCCCCUGACACAUAAUUAGUGUAAGCACACAAACACGUUGGCUGGUUAUCCUAUUCAUUCAGUUCCACGGACAGUGACCUGUGUUACUGUACUGUGACAUCUGGUUCCUUCAUUGGCUCUGAAUAUAUUUCUAUAAAUGACUAAAUGGCUCUGUUGUAGAAAUUUCCAGCCAGAGACUUGGUUCUUAUAUAACAAGAAGAUUUUAUUUUUACUCGGACUGAGAAGCUACAGAAAAUCAGCUCUGCAUGUGAUCUCCCCUUUACUGCUCAAGCAGAGCACACGCAAUUCAGCAAGUCCAUACAAACAACUUCUCAGGACAGUUAUAGGGCCUUCAGGAAGAGUCAGACUGCAGUGCCAUUCAGAGAUACCAUUGUCUAAGACUUGCACUAAAACAUUCUAUGCACUUGGGCAUAUUUAAACAAAGUAGUAUGGCACCUGUGUCAAAAUCCAUCCCUGCCAUGUCCUGUUCACAUGUCACUGGCCAUCCUAUUCUCUCCUCUGUCUUGUACCCCUUAGCCCAUAGUGUGUUUGCCUGCUCAUCGGGUCGCCAUGUGGCUUAACGGGCCAAGUGGUUGGCCACCGUUCCUGACUCCCCUUUUGGUUGUGGGUUUUGAGGAUAUCAGAGGGUCUGUGUUUUCAUGAUUGUCCCCCAGGCCACCAUGCAGCUCAGCCCUUGAUUCCAACUACAGUUGCAAUCUGUUGGUUCUCAGUCUACUAGGACUAUAUAACAGGAUUCUCCACCCAUUCUACCUUUACUCCUUCAGCCGCAUACAUGAGUCAGGCCUAUAGGUUAUUCAAAUUUCGUCCUGCCAAAUUUACCGUACAGGAGGUGGACACUGCAAAUGAAUGUGUGAAUACUCCAAUAUCUACAUCUUUACAAGUUACCUGAAGUGGUUUGGUAGAUGAUUGUUAGGUUGGAAGUCCUUCUUGAUGUCUGUUUGCAGCUCAUCCACCAGCAACUGCAGGAGUUGUCGCUCCCAGAGGGAAUCCCACUCUCGGUCCGCUGGAGGGUCCAUGUCAUGUUUCCAUCAGUCACUUGGCGUGGGGCUCACAGAAUUUACCAGGCUCCUGUUUAAUCUGAUGCACCUUAGUCCAGUCCAUGCAUCUGGGGAACUUCUCUGAUAAUCUCUGGCAGAUUCUUUGCAGCUAUGCUUGAUAUUGGGUACUUGCCGCAACUAAGUAAUGGGUUGUUGAAUCAAAGUCCCCUUCCAUGUCAACAAUAACCCCAUUUUAGGGUUUUGUUAAACAACUGGUCUAAUUUGGAUGCAGAGGUUCUGCAUGGAAGGCCCAGUCUCUGAAGGUCUGUAGCAUAGCGAGGCCUGUUCUGCCUGGAAUCCGGCAGGUCACUGGCAACAUCCCCCAACUCCUUCAUCUAUAAGGUCGGGAAACCAGAACGUUUACUCUCCCUUGUGGAUAAGGACAUACCAACGUUGGGGCGAGAAGUUCUGCUGCCUCCUCCUGCUGCCUGAGUCUUCAACCAAGUCCAAAACAAAAGUAUACAAUGUUAGGAAGGGUAAUUCAAUGGUAUGAGACUGAAACUAGAAACUGUAAAUCGGAUGGAGUUAAAUAGCAAUACUGUGGAAGAGGCAUGGGAAUUUUUUAAAAGCACAUUGUUGCAAGUGCAAAAGGACUUCAAAUCCGUUUCCAGAAAAACUAAAUCUAGGAAACUGCAACCAAGCUGGUGUCAUGACCUGCUUGUACGAUCCUCGUGUGUGCCACACCCCCUCAUUAACCAUGUGUGCUGCCCCGAUUGUAACCAGCUGUUUUCUGUCAGUUUGAGUAGUCCUGUGUAUUUAGUCCACGUUCAAGUCUGUUUCCCCAGUCCUGUCAUUGAAAUCUCUCGCUGUUGGUACCUGUUUUCAUCAAUAAGGUGGGAUUUCUUCUUGAUGUCUGUUUGUAGCCCGUCCACUAGCAGCGGCUGCUGUAUUUAUCAUACCAAGUAGGGAACGUAUAUUGCUAAGUUUUUCUUAGUUCAAUUACACUUGACUAAGCUAAUUAAGCUGGCUAUGUUAUUUACAUUCAGAAGGAUGCCGCCAUAUUGGGUUAUACACAGAUGCCACGAUAGCUCACACUCACAUUCCCUCUUCAUUAUUUUUCUAAAUACACUCCAUCCUGCCUUGUCACCUGCAACAAGAUCUCACUCCCUGUAUCAAGUAAAGUCUUUCUAAUGGUUGAGCAGAUUUCUGCUUCUCUCCUAACCAUGGGCAUCCAAAGUAAGAUGAAGCAAAAUGUUAGGGAAUUUGACAACACAUGGUUACUCUUUUGGUAACAGUGACUUUGGUUUUAUUUUGAUAGAUGUAAACCACAUAAUAUGGUCUUAACCUUGUUAAUCUGUCCUAAAAACAAACUUUUGUGUUACGGGAGAAAAGUGCACAGCUGCUCGGAUCAACCCCAGCUAAUCAGCGCAUAUGGGAAUCUUUUCAAAAUACCAUGUGAGUCUUAUGCAAUUUACCCAAGUAAUAUAAGCUCUUUAGAUGAUUCUCAAAUAAUCAAUUCUCAUCAACUUAGUGUCAGAACACAAACUCGGUGGCAAAAAAGUGAAGCAUAACAGACUAAGUUGUGAAAAUGAAAUCUGCAUGUGAUGAAAGGGCAUGUGACUGUAUCGCGAUGAUUAUAAUCAUCAGAUCAAACGGACCACGGAGUUGGCGGUAUGGCCACACUGCUGGUCCCAUGUCAGUAGGGUAUAGCACACCCCUGGGCCCGGAUACCACUAGGAUGUCACUGGUGUACCACCAGUGAGACUCUGCAAUGAGACUUCAUUGCAGAGUCUCAAAGCACUUAUGUAAGUCGCUCUGGCUAAGGGCGUCUGCCAAAUCCUGUAAAUGUAAAUGUAAUGUAAAUGUACCACUGUGCCGUCAGAGUGUGGUGUGUCACUCCACAGCGUUGGCAGGAUUGCUCUUCUCCCUGCGGCGCCACCAUACGCACACGACGGUCAUCUGUGGUACUGCAGAACUGAGAUGUAUCGCUGAACAUGUGUCCAUCAUCUUGAGCAGCACCGGCUGUCAUUUAACACGAAAGAUGCCUGUUCAGUUUUCCAUCUGAACAAGGGCCCUCUGGACCCAGGUGUGCACUACAUGAGCACUUUGUUCCUGACUCCUUAUCAGUGUUUCCAUUUACACUCUCAGCCAGUCUUUAAUCUGCAAAGUUCCGCUUGGUGAGAUUUAUACAGACACGAGUAAAGAGGAUCUUUUCACUUUUCCCAAAUUCCCUCUGAGUCUGUAUUUUCACCUCUUGAAUGCUGGGAUUUGUAGGCCCAGCUCUUCACCAUGUAUAACAACAUCACCCUCAAUGCUAGAGAAACCAAGGAGCUGAUCCUGGACUUUCGCAAAAACAGGUGACUCCCCAAAGUCCUAUCUACAUCGCAGAGGAUGCUGUAGAGGCUUCAACAGCUUCCAGUUCCUCGGGCACACAGCUUCUGGCGGUCAAAGGCAUCGUCUUCAGGUGCUGCCUCAGAAAAGCAAGCAGCACCUUGAGAGACUCUAGCCACCCAGCACUGUCACUUUUCACCUUCCAUCCAUCCAUCUGCAUAAGCAUUUCCAGAUUUAGAGACAAGUUUCCUCCCCAUUGCUGUUAACCAGCCAGUGACGCUGACAUUUCCUCACACUGCCACUGUUACCUCAUUCUGUACUGUUACUGUGUCUGUCUAUGCUGGUGCCAUUACUUUAAUUUUAUUUAUAUAAUAUUAUCACUGAUUAUACUGUUGAGGUGCAACUACAGACAAUUUUUCUUUGAAUUAAUCUAGCGAAUAUUUUCCCAAGCUGUUGAUUCAUCAAAACUGUUAUUUUUCCUCCAGAAAAUCAGAUUGACCGUUUAAGUUAAUAUUAUUUUAAGAACAACACAAACUACGUCAUUGCGGGGUUUUAGAUAAUGGACACUAUACAGAUAUUUUUUUCGCCCACCAUUCAAUAAGCAGAUAAGUAACUUGUCUAAAAUAUUUAGAUUUGUAUUGUGAUGCCCAAAAGUUAGUAAUCUGUAUAAAAUCAGUGUAUCUUUGUUUUUUAAAUUUGGUUCUGUAAAUCAAUGUAGAAUAAGCCCAGAUUUUAACCUAAAAAUUUUCCUCAAAUGUUUAUUCAGUGGAGAUAAGUACAACCUCUACAGAUAGGCCUACACCCGUUUUGGCAGUGUCUCCGGAUCCCAUGACAAAUAAUGCCUUCAGUACAUCCUCCUCAACCCACACUGAAAGCAGAAGUGCUAUGGGCUUUGCAAACGGUUUGCGGACAUCACGUCAUAUACGUCCAAUGAUGACAUUCACACCGUCUCCAGGGCGAUGUUCCCUGACUCGCAGGGUCACUUGUGCUAGGGAUAAAACCGCUUUUCUUGCGCGAUUUGGACUCGCUCCAUAUAUUAAAAGGGAGCUUCGUUGUCAUGUUUGACGUAAGUAUGAACAGGACCAUCAAAAGAAAACAACUGGAUGUGCAUGUCAGGUAUUGGGUAAAUGGCGAGAAUGGCUCUCGAGUGCAGUCCUGGUUCUGGGAUCACAGUACAUGAGCCACUCCACCGCUGAAGACUUACUGGAGAAGUUUAAGGUAAACCAUUCAAUAACAUUUAAACUCAUUAACGAACCCGUGAUUUUUAAAUAUCCAUGGUUUAUCUUUCCAUGUGUUUAAAUGGGAGAACCAUAUUUAUUGGUAAGCAUAUUUUAAAGAUUUUAUUGCUGCUUCAUGGCUUUUCUUGCAAAAAAAUAGUUCAUUGAGGAAAUAGAAUGUUUAAGUGUUGUGUAGCAACAUGUACAGCUGGUCCUGCAUCACUCUGUCGGGGCUUAUUCCACGAGAAUGACCGCCUCACUGAACAAUAUCCCUUACAUACGAUUGUUUCAUUAGCAAGUCUUCUGUACUAGUGUAUGCUUAUGUCCUUGCACUCCUUAUGUUGCGUGAACUUAAUAUAUGAAAACUAUUUGACUGCAAUAUCUCAGUAUAGUGCUAUAAAUAUCUAACUGUUUUUACAAUUUUUUUUCUCCGGUAAUUUCAGGAGUGUACAAAGGAGCUCAAUGUAAAAAAUUUGCUCCCCUUGUCGGUGGAUGGACCUGCAGUCAUUUGGAUGUUCGUAGAGCUCUUGCAAAAAGACCAUGCCAGAAGAGAGGACUUCACAGCUGCAACAUCAUCCUCAAGAUUCCUUCUACCUUUCUGUGGGCAACGGUGGCUCGAACAUUUGCCAGCUGUCGAACGAGCAUUGGAAGUCUGGCCCUCUGUUGUGAAAUAUGUGGACCUGGUGAAGUCAGAAAAGGUGAAAAACCCAGGGACAUCUUCUUUUGACUGCAUUUCUGAAGCCCGAAUGGAUCCCCUUCUUCUGGCCAAACUACAUGUUUUUCAUGGCCCUAUCACAAGCAUUUCAACCAUUUCUGGCUAAAUACCAGACAGGUGUUCCCAUGAUGCCCUUCCUUUGGAAGGACUUGGCAGAAUUGAUCCAGACUCUCCUUCAGCGCUUCAUCAAACGAGAUCCCCUGCCUCUCACUGCAUAUAAGCUGGUCAGACUUGAUGUCAGUGAUCAAAAACUCUGGCUCAGUCCAAAGGAGGUGGAUAUAGGAAUGGCUGUAGCAGCUGUCAUCAAGGUGAUGCAAUAUCCCAGCAGUCUGAUAAUCACCUGCACAAUGAGGCAAAAGGCUUGGAUUUUAUAUCCUUCAUUCCUUCAGCACCAUCCAAAGUUGAUGUCUUUUUCCAUCAAAAAGUUAGUGGGCCUUAUCCUGACCUCUGGAUGUUCUGCAAGAACUUGCUGCUACUGUCCUAUGGGCAAGUCGAAGUGGAACGAAUAGAGGUGGAGACCUGCAACUUAUCAGAGGAAACAGUUGUUGCACAGAGGCUUAUAUGCGACCAUGUCAGAGCGUGUGGGGGAGCAACCAAAGCGCCUCUGACCAAAGGUGAAAGAUGAGCGAAAAGCAAAAAAGAAAACUUGAGGAACUCAAGAGGAAGAGAGUCUCACUGGAAAGUGUAUGUGAGAGUUUACAAAAGGAUGCUGAGCACAUGGCAGAGGAAGCAGAGAGUGCUGCUGGAACCAAAAGGGCAACAUUACUUACCAAGUCCAAUACUCUGAGGCGACGAGCGAAGGAGGAGAAAGAGCAGUUUGUGGUCUUAAAGGCAGAUACUGAAGAGUGGGCUACUGCACUGCGACUCCUAGCACAUCAAGAGUGAAUCGGUGGAAACAAAAAUAUUUAGGUUCUUUGCAUUUUUGGAGUAUUUUACUUUCUGUGCUUGUUUGUACAUUGUUCACAGCCACAAUAUUUUAUAAUUACAAGGUAGUUUUAUGUUAGAGCUCUUGCUCCAAUAAAUAUGUGCCUUGUAAUUAACUAAA